rnacentral:rRNA from 1 species
AGCGAACGCUGGCGGCAGGCCUAACACAUGCAAGUCGAACGAACUCUUCGGAGUUAGUGGCGGACGGGUGAGUAACACGAGGGAACGUGCCUUUUGGUUCGGAAUAACCCAGGGAAACUUGUGCUAAUACCGAAUGUGCCCUUCGGGGGUAAGAUUUAUCGCCAUUAGAGCGGCCCGCGUCUGAUUAGCUAGUUGGUGAGGUAACGGCUCACCAACGCGACGAUCAGUAGCUGGUCUGAGAGGAUGACCAGCCACACUGGGACUGAGACACGGCCCAGACUCCUACGGGAGGCAGCAGUGGGGAAUCUUGCGCAAGGGGCGAAAGCCUGACGCAGCCAGGCCGCGUGAAUGAUGAAGGUCUUAGGAUUGUAAAAUUCUUUCACCGGGGACGAUAAUGACGGUACCCGGAGAAGAAGCCCCGGCUAACUUCGUG